UCCUCGUGACCUCUGCGCAGUGUAUGCGCAAAGUGCACGUCAGCGUGGACUCGUGUAAGUCGCGUAGGGGCAUCGCCAAGGUCGCGAGGAUUCGCGAUGGAAAAUCACGGUUGCGACGACGGAAAAAACGAGGUGAAAAUUAGUCUGUCGGUCGUCUCCAACGGCUUGCCUUUUCCGAAAGCGUCACAAAGACCCCGAGAAACGGACUGGCAAACGUUUACGACCUCAACUUUUCUCUCAUAAUCGACUACACCUGAAACUGGGAAAACAUCAUGUCGUCCUCUUUUGACUGCUCGGAAUUUACGACACCUCGUGGACCGUUACGCCUUGAAUACUGACAAAGUUUCGGCCCUGAAAUGUCGUAAUGGAUUUCGGGGGGAGGUCGAAGGGGUGGAACCAUACUGCGGACACCGAGACGUCAACAUGGGAAAGGAAAUGUAUUUGGAGAAAGGCUACGUCAAAGUUUGACCACGACUCCACGCCGACUAAGAGCAACCAACUCGACUGCUAGGAUGCAAAUCCCAAGCAUCGAGAUCGAUCAAAGUCCUUUUUCAACUUCCAUGGCCUAUAGAGGAUCCUGCGCGAGCUGAUUAGCCACAACUGACAGGGCAAGUCGAAACUUUACUCAGCGAUACGAGGCCGUGGACCACCACCAUGACGGUGCAAUCUCAUCAACCAUAUCGGCGGAUUGGAAACUAGGAACUUCAUCAGGCCUCUGGUUUGCAGGCCAUUUUUUCCUGCGAGCGUCGAGCGUGGCCGCAAACGAGGCCAAUCUGGGUCAUCCGAGAGACACGAGGGACGCGCCAUCACGCUCUUUAUAUCAGUCGAGAGUGGAUCAUGAUUAUCCUCCGAGGAAGAGUCCUCCCUGGCUGCUGGAGAUAGUCCACUCUCACUGUCGGACUCGGUGAAAGUAAAGAGAUUACAUACUUUUCCCGCCAUCGCUCAGCCACCUCCGCGAUGCCAACUUCUUCGUGGCUGACAACGACUCCGCCGUCGCUGGAAUGGCCAAUAAUGCGCGGGAUGAACUUUCUUUCUGUUCAAAGAAGGCUAACCUUUCCG